UACGGGGGGGGCAAGCGUUGUUCGGAAUUACUGGGCGUAAAGGGCUCGUAGGCGGCCAACUAAGUCGGAUGUGAAAUCCCCAGGCUUAACCUGGGAACUGCAUCCGAUACUGGAUGGCUUGAAUCCGGGAGAGGGAUGCGGAAUUCCAGGUGUAGCGGUGAAAUGCGUAGAUAUCUGGAGGAACACCGGUGGCGAAGGCGGCAUCCUGGACCGGCAUUGACGCUGAGGAGCGAAAGCGUGGGGAGCAAACAGG
rnacentral:rRNA from 1 species